GAUGAACGCUGGCGGCGUGCCUAAUACAUGCAAGUCGAGCGAACAGACGAGGAGCUUGCUCCUCUGACGUUAGCGGCGGACGGGUGAGUAACACGUGGAUAACCUACCUAUAAGACUGGGAUAACUUCGGGAAACCGGAGCUAAUACCGGAUAAUAUAUUGAACCGCAUGGUUCAAUAGUGAAAGACGGUUUUGCUGUCACUUAUAGAUGGAUCCGCGCCGCAUUAGCUAGUUGGUAAGGUAACGGCUUACCAAGGCAACGAUGCGUAGCCGACCUGCGAGCGUGAUCGGCCACACUGGAACUGAGACACGGCCCAGACUCCUACGGGAGGCAGCAGUAGGGAAUCUUCCGCAAUGGGCGAAAGCUUGACGGAGCAACGCCGCGUGAGUGAUGAAGGUCUUCGGAUCGUAAAACUCUGUUAUUAGCGAAGAACAAAUGUGUAAGUAACUAUGCACGUCUUGACGGUACCUAAUCAGAAAGCCACGGCUAACUACGUG
rnacentral:rRNA from 1 species